rnacentral:rRNA from 1 species
CUACGUGCCAGCAGCCGCGGUAAUACGUAGGGCGCGAGCGUUGUCCGGAAUUAUUGGGCGUAAAGAGCUUGUAGGCGGUUUGUCGCGUCUGCUGUGAAAGGCCGGAGCUUAACUCCGUGUAUUGCAGUGGGUACGGGCAGACUAGAGUGCAGUAGGGGAGACUGGAAUUCCUGGUGUAGCGGUGGAAUGCGCAGAUAUCAGGAGGAACACCGAUGGCGAAGGCAGGUCUCUGGGCUGUAACUGACGCUGAGAAGCGAAAGCAUGGGGAGCGAACAGGAUUAGAUACCCUGGUAGUCCAUGCCGUAAACGUUGGGCACUAGGUGUGGGGAACAUUCCACGUUUUCCGCGCCGUAGCUAACGCAUUAAGUGCCCCGCCUGGGGAGUACGGCCGCAAGGCUAAAACUCAAAGAAAUUGACGGGGGCCCGC